AUGGCUGCUUCUUCUUCUUCCUCCUCCUCGUCCUCCUCCUCGUCCUCUCCGUCCUCCCCCUCCGACCCGGACUACAAGGUCACCACCUCUGACAUCGAGGACGACGCCGCCGGGGUCGAGCCCCCAUCGUCGGACGAGGAAUUCCCCUCCGUCUUCCGCACGCAGGGCCACGUGGACGCGGUGUGCAUGAAGUACGGCAUCCCCAAGGACCAGUACACCGCCCUCCCCGCCGGCGACCUGCGCGCGAGCUCGUCCCCACCGCACGGCGCCGUCUGCGUGUACGCGCACGCGCUGGAGGCCGGGAUGCGCGUCCCUCUUCACCCCUUCUUCGUCGACGCGCUCAACCACUUCGGCCUCGCGCCGACGCAGCUCGCGCCCAACGGGUGGCGCAUCAUGGCGGGAUUCAUUGUGCUCUGCCGCUCCGCUGGCGUGCCGCCGUCCCUCGCGGUGUUCCGGCGCUUCUUCGUGCUGUCCGCCCUCCCCCACAAGCACAAAAGAGGCUGGUACUACUUCCAACCCAGGUCGAAGGGCGGAUCCGGCUUGCGCUUCACGGGGUUGCCGGAGUCCAUCAAGGGUUGGAAGCGCGGGUUCUUCUUCCUCUCUUCGCCGACCGCGUGGCCUUGUCCUGUGGAAUGGGGCAAGCCGUCCAAGAGCUCCCUCGUGGACCCUGUGCUCUCCGCCGAAGAUGAGGCAUCGGCGGCCAAGUUGCUAUCUGCUCAGGGAGCCUCCUCCAUUGAUCUCAGGAAGUAUCUUUGCAUCAGAAAUCUUGCCGAGGCCGGGAUAUCUCCCUUGCCGGCACCGGUACGGGCGCCGCCAUCACCGCAGCUCCCGGCACCGGAGCCGUCGUCACCGCAGCCGCCGCCUUCUUGUACUUGUACUGCUACCGAGUCCAAAGGGAUGGAUCCGGCAGUGUACGGCAUGAUGAAAUCCAUGCUGGCAGUGAAGGCGGCGGUGGCAAGAACAUUGGCAUCGACGAACAAGGUGGAAAUUGAGCCGGGCAGCGACGUGACGAGAUCGCCGCCGUUGCGUGGGAAGAAGAGGAAUCUGGGAGAAGCAGACGGCAGCGACGGCCCACCAUCUGUGCUGCCAGACACUCCGUCUACCGCCGGUGACAGCUCGGCGCCGACCGGAAUUUGUUCCCCGCCCGAGGCCUUCUCCCGGAGCAGCCGGAAGAUUCAGCAUAUUCCCAGCGGACACGACGGCGACAGCACCGACUGGGUGGCCGCGCGGGAGAGGCUGCGGGGCGCCGUCCCGCCGCAGCAGGACCGCGUGUUUGCGGCGACGGAGCCCUCCGACAUCGUCGCGUCCACCUACGUCGCCGUUCUUCAGGCUGCAAACUACGCGUCCUUCUCCUUGGCCUACGCGCUGGAGCUGGAGCAGCGGCUGGACGCGCGGGACGCGGCUGGAGAGGUCGGAGGCCAAGCUCGCCGCGGCGGAGGCGGAGGUGGAGACGGUGAAGGCCGAGCGCGCCGUGCGGCGACGCGCGCAGGACGCGCUGGAUGGUUACGAGCGCUGGCGGGGCGCGAACGCGGGGCAGAGGACGUGAAGCGCGCUGUGCGCUCUAGCUGUCCUCUCUACGCCGUUCGGCAGGUCAGGCGGACGCUUAAUUACCUUGUAGAUUAA
rnacentral:rRNA from 1 species